GGAAGUCCCAAGGAGCUGCCUUGCCCGCUAGUGUCCUGUCCCGUUGGGCGUGUGAGGAAGCGCGGACUCAGUCGCCUUCUCCAAACGAGACUCCUAGGCACAGCCCGGAGAGGCCGGGAUGGUGGUGCCUGACGCAGGCUGUGCCAGUCCAAGUUCUUCACCGAACUUUUUGAACUUGAAAUUGGGAGAUAAAACCAGAACCUUUGUGGCAGAAAUCUGUGAGUUGUGAGGCCUGAGCUUGUCCUGUGUCCCUGCCAGUUGACAGGGAGGAAGAAGCAGGCUGACAGUGUGGAAGCUGGCGAGUGCAGAGUCCGGCUGGCUUUCAGGGCUUGCUGCAAGUGUUCCUGAGGCUCAGCUUUGUCCUGACCUUCCUGCAGGGGCCCAAGGCUUCCUGUACCCAGUUCCUAAGGCUGCUGUGGCAUCUGUUGGUGCAGAAAGUCAACAGCAUCCUGAACCUCUUGAAAAAGAAUUGAGAUGGUCCUGUCUUGAUCAGACCAGACACUGACAGAACCUUAUAGCUAUCAGCUGAGUCAGAUUCAUCCGUCCACGCAUCCAUCCAUCCACUCACUCACAUGCUUUCUGAACCACUAUUGUGUGCUAGGAAGUGUGCUGGGAGCUUUUAAAGAAUUACUCUGACUCAGGAUAUGAAUUUGGAACAAUCUCCAAAAUACCAUAUAAGUGAAAAAAGCAAGCUUCAGAACACUGUGUAUAGAAUACUACCAUUUGUAUUAAAAAUAGAUAUAUAAAUAUACAUAUUUAUAAACUUGUAAAUGCAUAGAAUUGCUCUGAAAGGAUACACAAGGUACAGAGAACAGUGAUUAACUCUGGAGAAGGGCCUGGGGGUGACCUCCAUGGGGAAGCUCAUGGUUUACUGUACACCUUUUUGUAUUGUGGAAUGACUUAACAUGUAUAUGUAUUAAUUUUUCAAAACAAAAAAAAAAUAAAA